rnacentral:rRNA from 1 species
GAAAAGCGUAGUCGAUGGGAAACAGGUUAAUAUUCCUGUACUUCUGGUUACUGCGAUGGAGGGACGGAGAAGGCUAGGCCAGCUUGGCGUUGGUUGUCCAAGUUUAAGGUGGUAGGCUGAAAUCUUAGGUAAAUCCGGGGUUUCAAGGCCGAGAGCUGAUGACGAGUCGUCUUUUAGAUGACGAAGUGGUUGAUGCCAUGCUUCCAAGAAAAGCUUCUAAGCUUCAGGUAACCAGGAACCGUACCCCAAACCGACACAGGUGGUCGAGUAGAGAAUACCAAGGCGCUUGAGAGAACUCGGGUGAAGGAACUAGGCAAAAUGGCACCGUAACUUCGGGAGAAGGUGCGCCGGCUAGGGUGAAGGAUUUACUCCGUAAGCUCUGGCUGGUCGAAGAUACCAGGCCGCUGCGACUGUUUAUUAAAAACACAGCACUCUGCAAACACGAAAGUGGACGUAUAGGGUGUGACGCCUGCCCGGUGCCGGAAGGUUAAUUGAUGGGGUUAGCGCAAGCGAAGCUCUUGAUCGAAGCCCCGGUAAACGGCGGCCGUAACUAUAACGGUCCUAAGGUAGCGAAAUUCCUUGUCGGGUAAGUUCCGACCUGCACGAAUGGCGUAACGAUGGCGGCGCUGUCUCCACCCGAGACUCAGUGAAAUUGAAAUCGCUGUGAAGAUGCAGUGUAUCCGCGGCUAGACGGAAAGACCCCGUAAACCUUUACUGUAGCUUUGCACUGGACUUUGAGCCUGCUUGUGUAGGAUAGGUGGGAGGCUUGGAAGCGUGGACGCCAGUUCGCGUGGAGCCAUCCUUGAAAUACCACCCUGGCAUGCUUGAGGUUCUAACUCUGGUCCGUAAUCCGGAUCGAGGACAGUGUAUGGUGGGCAGUUUGACUGGGGCGGUCUCCUCCUAAAGAGUAACGGAGGAGUACGAAGGUGCGCUCAGACCGGUCGGAAAUCGGUCGCAGAGUAUAAAGGCAAAAGCGCGCUUGACUGCGAGACAGACACGUCGAGCAGGUACGAAAGUAGGUCUUAGUGAUCCGGUGGUUCUGUAUGGAAGGGCCAUCGCUCAACGGAUAAAAGGUACUCCGGGGAUAACAGGCUGAUACCGCCCAAGAGUUCAUAUCGACGGCGGUGUUUGGCACCUCGAUGUCGGCUCAUCACAUCCUGGGGCUGAAGCCGGUCCCAAGGGUAUGGCUGUUCGCCAUUUAAAGUGGUACGCGAGCUGGGUUUAGAACGUCGUGAGACAGUUCGGUCCCUAUCUGCCGUGGACGUUUGAGAUUUGAGAGGGGCUGCUCCUAGUACGAGAGGACCGGAGUGGACGAACCUCUGGUGUUCCGGUUGUCACGCCAGUGGCAUUGCCGGGUAGCUAUGUUCGGAAAAGAUAACCGCUGAAAGCAUCUAAGCGGGAAACUUGCCUCAAGAUGAGAUCUCACUGGGAACUUGAUUCCCCUGAAGGGCCGUCGAAGACUACGACGUUGAUAGGCUGGGUGUGUAAGCGUUGUGAGGCGUUGAGCUAACCAGUACUAAUUGCCCGUGAGGCUUGACC